rnacentral:misc_RNA from 1 species
GUUGUAAGAAUGGAAAGAAAUAUGUGGAAAAAAAUCUAACUUACUGGCAGUGGUGGUCUA